rnacentral:rRNA from 1 species
AGAGUUUGAUCCUGGCUCAGAUUGAACGCUGGCGGAAUGCUUUACACAUGCAAGUCGAGCGGCAGCGCGGGGGCAACCCUGGCGGCGAGCGGCGAACGGGUGAGUAACAUAUCGGAACGUACCCUGUCGUGGGGGAUAACACAGCGAAAGUUGUGCUAAUACCGCAUACGACCUGAGGGUGAAAGCGGGGGAUCGCAAGACCUCGCGCGAUAGGAGCGGCCGAUAUCGGAUUAGCUAGUUGGUGAGGUAAAGGCUCACCAAGGCGACGAUCCGUAGCUGGUCUGAGAGGACGACCAGCCACACUGGAACUGAGACACGGUCCAGACUCCUACGGGAGGCAGCAGUGGGGAAUUUUGGACAAUGGGGGCAACCCUGAUCCAGCCAUUCCGCGUGAGUGAAGAAGGCCUUCGGGUUGUAAAGCUCUUUCGGCAGGAACGAAACGGUGGUCCUUAAUACGGGCUACUAAUGACGGUACCUGAAGAAGAAGCACCGGCUAACUACGUGCCAGCAGCCGCGGUAAUACGUAGGGUGCGAGCGUUAAUCGGAAUUACUGGGCGUAAAGCGUGCGCAGGCGGUUAUAUAAGACAGAUGUGAAAUCCCCGGGCUUAACCUGGGAACUGCGUUUGUGACUGUAUAACUCGAGUGUGGCAGAGGGGGGUGGAAUUCCACGUGUAGCAGUGAAAUGCGUAGAGAUGUGGAGGAACACCGAUGGCGAAGGCAGCCCCCUGGGUCAACACUGACGCUCAUGCACGAAAGCGUGGGGAGCAAACAGGAUUAGAUACCCUGGUAGUCCACGCCGUAAACGAUGUCAACUAGCCGUUGGGAGUCUUGAACUCUUAGUGGCGCAGCUAACGCAUUAAGUUGACCGCCUGGGGAGUACGGCCGCAAGGUUAAAACUCAAAGGAAUUGACGGG